CACCCCCCCGCACCCCCCUCCACACACACACACCUGCCCCUGGCCCAUUAGCUCUUCCCAGUCUGAUCUAAACUGGGCUGCUAGGAAAUCACGACUCCCGGGUCGUGGGAAAUUUCGGAGUGCUGGAAACGGUAGAGAAUGUCGGUCAAUGUAUGUGCGAGAGCCCCUGGAACAGUUGGAGUGGGAAUAACGCGCAGACGGAGAAAGAGCACAGAGAAGUUAAUCCACUUCCCCAAGAUCACACAGCCAGUUGACCGGCAGAGAUGCUUUGCGGAGCAUGCGCAAUGCAAUGCUCACUCUCCGUCCUGCCUCACCUUCUCCGUCUUCAGCACCAGAGAAGUUGACAGCUCACUUGGGCAGGCAGGGUUUACAUCUCCUCACCCUAGCUCACAGGAAAAGGAGGGGAAAUAAAAAGAAAUGGCCUCUUUAAGCAUUCUAUCUCUAAUGGAGUCAAGAUCAGCAGUAAACUGUAUUUUCCUGAUAAAUUCAUGUAUGUUCCAAAUUUUUUGAAUAAAGGUGUGCUAAAUAGUCUCUGAUGACUUCAUUUUUCUCUGUAUUAAUAAUAUCAUUUAUUUUGUUUAUAU